rnacentral:rRNA from 1 species
GACAGAGGUGCCGAGCGUUAGGCGGAAUCACUGGGCUUAAAGCGUGUGUAGGCGGAUCGUUAAGUACCUUGUGAAAUCCCACGGCUCAACCGUGGAACUGCUGGGUAUACUGGCGGUCUUGAGCCACCUAGGGGCGAGCGGAACAAGCGGUGGAGCGGUGAAAUGCGUAGAUAUCGCUUGGAACGCCAACGGUGAAAACAGCUCGCUGGGGGUGUGCUGACGCUGAGACGCGAAAGCGUGGGGAGCAAACAGG